UUCUCUUGUUGUCGCCCCACAUCUUCUUCCAUGGUUUCUCUCUUCUUUUUUUCCUUUUCCUUUUCUCUUCAAUUUUUCUAAAAACGCAACCACAAAAUUUUGAGAUUUUGCUAAAAUCUCAUGGGAAACAACCUCCAUGCUAGUUUUCAAUUAUCAUUCCUCAAAUUUCAGCAAGGGUUUUUAUAAGCUUUAGUGAAAGAAGUUGAAGCUAAAAAGAAAAAGCUUUAAGAAGGUAUUCACCUCACUUAAGGAGAAUUUGUUCAAGAUGGGACUAGUUAGGCAAGGAUGGGCGACUUCAAUCUACAUUCUGAAUGCUUAUUCAUGGAUUUUUUCUUAAUAUUUGCUUUGCUUGGUACAUUGAGGACAGUGGUCAAUUUAAGGCUACGUUUGUUUCAAUGUAAAAGUUUUUUAUGGAAAAUAUUUUCAACCUUUCCCGCUGUUUGUUUCAUGUAAAAUAGGAUGGUUAACAUAAAAGGUUUUCUAGUCAAUAUAAAAUUAUCCUCUUAUUCUCGUAAAA